UCAAUCUUUAUUUGAAAUCAGGUAAAAAUGUCAACAAUAUUUGACAGCAAAAUCAUACAAAUUAUAACAACAUAAAACCCUAUUAACAACAAUGUCCAGCAUUCAUGCAAGCUGUAUAUAGUUAACAAUUAGUACUAGAAUAUCUUUAAAAGUAUUAGUAAUACUGACAUUCUUAUAAGCAUGUGAAAUCUAGGCUUAUUUUUAGAGCAUCAAGUUGGAAGAAUAGUGUCAGUCAAUUACUACAUUACAAAUGGAAUAAACAAGACUAAGCCGAGGAAUAAAGAUCUUCAAUAAGCUACUUUAAGGACAGUUGGUGGUUUCUAACUUGGGUGCUGCCCUUGCCUUAAAUUAUAUUCACAAGCGCAAGGUCUUGCUUCACUUAUACAUCUAGAAAGUUGUCAUGACUAAAAGUAUCUAUUUGACAAACAAGAGGGCCAUGAUGGCUCUAGAUCGCUCACCUGACCCAUCAAACAAGCAUUCUGACCAAGUUUCAAGACAGGUGAGUCAAAAAUGUGACCACUAGAGUGUUAACAAGGUUUCUCCAUAUUUGAGUAGUGUGACCUAGUUUUUCAUCCGAGAUGACCCAUGUUCAAACUUGACCUAGAAAUCAUCAAAACAAACUUUCAGAUCAAUUUACAGGAUAUUUGGAUCAAAACAGUAGCCACUAGAGUGUUAAUAAGAUUUUGCUAUUUUUAGCUCUGGUGACCUAGUUUUUCAUCCAAGAUGACCCAUGUUCGAACUCAUCUGAGCAAUGACCUAGAAAAGUAUCCUGACCAAAAUUGAUGGUAAUUGAGUCAAAAAUGUGACCACUAGAAUGUUAACAAGAUUUUUCAACAUUUGGGCAGUGUGACCUAGUUUUUGACCCCAGGUGACCCAUAUUCGAUCUUGAUCAUUAAAACAAACUUUCAUACCAUUUUACAAGAUAUUUGCAUCAAAUCAGUAGCCUCUAGUGUUAACAAGAUUUUUCUAUUUUUAGCUCCUGUGACCUAGUUUUUCAUUUCAGAUGACCCAUGUUCGAACUCAUCCGAGCUAUCACCUAGACAAGCAUCCUGACCAAGUUUGAUGAUAAUUGAGGCAAAAAUGUGACCGCUAGAGUGAUAACUAGAUUUUUCUAUUCUAAGCUCCUGUGACCUAGUUUUUCCAUCCGAGAUGACCCAUGUUAGAUCUCAUCAGAGCAAUCACCUAGACAAGCAUCCUGACAAAGUUUGAUGACAUUUGAGUCAAAAAUGUGACCACUAGAGUGUUAACAAGGUUUUUCUAUUUCUAGCUCCUGUGACCUAGUUUUUCAUCUGAGAUGACCCAUGUUCAAAGCUAAUACCUAGAAAAGCAUCCUGACCAAGUUUGAUGAUGGUUCAGUCAAAAAUGUGACCGCUAGAGUUUUAACAAGGUUUUUCUAUUUUUAGCUCCGGUGACCUAGUUUUUCAUUCAGGAUGACCCACAUUCGAACUCAUCCGAGCUAUCACCUAGACAAGCAUCCUGACUAAGUUUGAUGAUGAUUGAGGCAAAAAUGUGACCACUAGAGUGUUAACAAAGUUUUUUUAUUUUUAGCUCCAGUGACCUAGAUUUUCAUCCGAGAUGACCCAUGUUCAAACUCAUACGAGCUAUCACCUAGACAAGCAUCCUGACCAAAUUUGAUGAUAAUUGAGGCAAAAAUGUGACCCCUAGAAUGUUAACAAGGUUUUUGUGUCGCCUUGAAAAAGGUGACAUAUAGGGGUUACUUUUGUCGGCAGCGUCGUUGUCGGCGUCGGUGUCCUUGUCGGUGUCCUUAAGCUUGUCCAGAGCAUAAGUCAGUCAUUAUAAGUCAAAUUGACUUCAAACUUCGUAUGCAUGAUUCCUGCAAUGACCCGAAGUGCAGUGCAUAAGAACCGGUACUCUGCACUUCUUAUUUUUUGAGUUAUUGCCCUUUGUUAAUUUUCAUACUUUAUUUUUGUCCGGACCAUUUCUCCUAAAGUAUAAAAUCUAUGGACUUGAUAGGAUGAUAGAUCUCAUUAAGAAGAAGUGCAGUGCAUAAGAACUGGCACUCUGCAUUUCUUAUUUUUUGAGUUAUUGCCCUUUGUUAAUUUUCAUUCUUUAUUUUUGUCCAGGCCAUUUCUCCUAAAGUAUAAAAGCUAUGGACAUGAAACUUCAUAGGAUGCUGGAUCUCAUUAAGAAGAAGUGCAGUGCACAAGAACUGGUACUCUGCAUUUCUUUUUUUUUGAGUUAUUGCCCUUUGUUAAUUUUCAUACUUUAUUUUUGUCCAGGCCAUUUCUCCUAAAGUAUAAAAGCUAUGGACAUGAAACUUCAUAGGAUGAUAGAUCUCAUUAAGAAGAAGUGCAGUGCCCAAGAACUGGUACCCUGCAUUUCUUGUUUUUUGAGUUAUUGGCCUUGUAAAUUUUCAAACUUUAUUUUUAUCAAGGCCAUUUCUCAUAAACUAUAAAAGCUUUAGACUUGAAAAUUAAUAGGGUGAUAGAUCUUAUUGAUAAGAAGUGCAGUGCACAGAAACUGCUGCUCUGCAUUUCUUAUUUUUUGAUUUAUUGCCCUUUGUUGAUUUUCAAAUUUCAUUUUUGUCCUGGCCAUCCUAAACUAUAUUGUUCACAAGGCGACACAUCCGACUCGCGGAGUUCUAGUUCUGUUUUUUGCUCCUGUGACUUACUUUUUCAUCUGAGAUGACCCAUGUUCGAACUCAUCCGAACUAUCAACUAGAGAAGCAUCCUGACAAAGUUUGAUGAUGAUUGAGGCAAAAAUGUGACUGCUAGAGUGUUAAUGAACAAGUGUGGACGGACAACGGACAUUCAACAAUCCUAAAUGCUCACCCUGAGCAACCUCAGGUGAGCUAAAAAAAACCUUUGAACAUCAUUUCCUACUGAAAUAGUUGAUGGAUGAUCACCAAACUUUGUCUGUAGCAUUCUUAGGUAGUCUUUUAUUAAGUUUGCUCAUAUUAAGUUGAUUGUCCCGUUUAAGCUAAAGCUUAAAUGCCCCAUGGCAUUUACUAAAGAUAUUCUAUGCUCAAAUCUAAUACUAGAAAAUAUUGACAAUGAAUAAUUUCCAACAAUGAAAAACAGUUAUUUCAUGGCCCUCUUGUUCAAUAUUGGUUUUUUACGGGUUAUAAGUUUGAUAAAUAGGUUGGGUUAUCUUACUUCUUAAUCGUAGUUCUAUACAUAAUUAUUGAUUUUAGUAUUGAUUUUAAGAAAUCAAUACAUACUUAUGCCAUAAAUUUGAAAAGAUCUCAAUGAUUUUAAAUAACCGAAUUGUUCCUUUAUAUACAUAAAAAGCAGUUAUAAGUUAAAUGAGUAUUUAUAUAUUUAAGAUCUUAUUUUUGAAUGAGUUAAUUCAGUUACAGAAGAGGAAAAGAAAAAUAUAUGGAUAAUUCUUGUAAAAUAAUAAAGACUAUGUUACUGAAAAAAAAAGGAUUAAGUUUAAGACUAAAUAAAUAAAAACAUAAAUAAGUACAAUAAAAAAUAUGACAAAAUGGGAAGAUCAUUGAGUAAGGAUUUUUGUGAGAACCUCUAUGAUCAUGGAUAAAAAAAGAGAGGAAAUUUCGAACAAAAUUAUUUUGAUGUCUAUCACACUUUUAUAUGGAGGAUAACUUGAAAAGUAUUGAUGGAAUUUGAUAGUGACCAGUGAAAGGAAGUGCAGUGUCACAGAACCAUUACUCUACCUAGCUUAAUUUUUAAUUGAAUUAUGCCUGUUCAGAGUAUAACUUCUAAAUUAUCAAAUCAAUGAUAUUUCAUUGGAACUUCACACAUAUAUUAAGAGUGAAGUGUUAACACAUCAUAAUUCUACAGAGAUUAUUUUUUAAAUAUCUAAAGUAUUGUAGGAAUUUGGUCAACACUUCAUAUAGUUAUAGAAGUGCAGCAUCAUAGAACCAUAAUUUUCACUUGUUUAAAUUAAGAAUCAUACAUUUUACAAACAAUAUUUAGAAAUGUCAAAAAAUGCUUGUCCAGAGGCUACUUUCUAAAUUCACCCAUUUGUAAAAAAUGUGAGAAGUGCAGUACUAUACAUACUAAGUUUUUAAAUAACCUUCCUUAUAAUAUUUAAUGAUUUUCCUGAGAAUAAUUUUUUAGUCUUGAAACUUCACACAAUGAGAAUGACCAGUGAAAGGAAGUGAAGAGUUGAAGGACCAAAUUUCUACCUCGCUUAUUUUUUAAUUAUCUCCCUUUAUGAUACUUUAAAAUGUUAACUAAUGCCUAUCUUGAGUAUAUUAUCUAGACUGUCAGUUAUAUCUCUCUGAAACUUCACUGUUAUAGGAACAAUAUAACUUAUUAUUUUUAUUAUCUCCCUUUACAAUUUAUAAUGCUUGACUGGGGAAUAACUGAAAAAAGUAUUGGAAUAAUCUUAUUAACACAUCACAGAGUUAUACAGAAAGUGCAAUGUGAAUUCACUGCCUUCAGCAAUAUUCUUGUAUAAGAAAUCAUAAUGGAACAAGAGUGAUUAAAAAAGUUCUGUUUAGAAGGCACAUCAAAGCAAAAAAGUAUGCGCAUAUGGUACACUUUCUACAUCAAGUUUUAUGUUGAUGUCAAAUAACUUACUCAAAUUCAGUUUAUGAAACUGUCUUGCAGUAAAAACUUAAGAACUGGUACAUAAAACAAUAUUCUUUAAAGAACUAUGCUUCACAUGUCUGAAACACUUUAUAACACUUUAUACAUAUAACAAGAUGUGGUAGUAAAACAUAAAUGCUUCAGUCUUGUACUUAAUAAUAAGUCAUAGUGAAAAAGCCUGACUAUUGAAAAUGACCUCAAAAUCAGUCAAGUUCUUCUUCAAAAGUUCUAUGUGUCCAAGUAGGAGGGAUUCAUUCUUUAAAAUGAUGGAAGUGUUCAAAGAUGUCAGCAGACAACAAAAAAGCAAGAUGCUCUUGGCUUAUCUAUAUAUGAAGGAACAUAAAAGCAAAAAUGGGUAAAAUUAAAGUUUGGAAUGUAAGACCAGGCAUGCAGGUGACUUGUAGCCAUUGCAGUAAAUGCCUUAACCUUCUUGUAGAGUUGAAACAUGGACAUCUAUUCUGUGGAAUAUGUUACCUUAAUAAAGGAAACAAUAAAUCAUUUUGCUGGCGGUGUAUAAAAGAAGGAAUUGAAGAAUCAGAAGAUUGUAGCAAGCAGGUCAUUAGCAAAAGAAAUAGAGGAGCUGAGAUGGAUCUGCUCAAAAUGCCUGCCCAAUGUAUGAAGUGUAAGAAGAAAGGAACCUACGGGGAAAUUGAGAUGCACAUAGAUUCCUGCCCAGAAACAACUUGCUGUAGGUGUGUGAUCCAGUAAAGAACUGUGUACCAGUAAAAUAAUCAUCCAUUAUUUCCAUAUUUCAUAAUUUGAGAAUGUUGACAUGAGUAUAAAACAGGAAAUCUGGAUCAACAAAAACAGCAAUAAAAAGAAGAUAUGACAAAAUUGUAUAAGUCAAUAAUUUCUUGGAACUUUUAAGAUCAGAUGAAGUUGUGAAAAAGUUAUAAAAUAAUGUUAAGAGUGUAUGAGAUUUAGUAACAUUUUAUUUUUAGUAACAUUUACAAAUUUUUCUAUCCGGUUUAAGUGAUCAUGAGAAGUUGAAUAUCACUUACUGUAGGUUAUCAAUAUUACUUAAUCCUAAAUCUAUCUCUUUUUAAAGGACCGUUUCAAGUAAUGUGAUUCCUAUAUUAAAUGUGCCAUAUUUUCUUUUUUAUAAACAAAUACUAAUGAUCAUAAUUAUGUAUACUACGUUCUAUAUAAAAAAUAGAACUCAAUUUUCUUUCAUUGUUUUUAGUUGACUUAUAGAAUAAACAUAAUAAUGCAAUAAUGAAACUUACAAUGAAACAGUUCCUGAAUUAAAAGUUUUGUGUUCACCAUGUCUUAGUGUUCCCUGUAUGAACAUAAAGAUAAAUAAAAUAUGUGAUCCUGCACAUACUUUUUAACACCUUUCUUGUGUAUAAUAAUAUUAUCUACCUGCAUGUUUUCCAUAUGUUCCAUAAAGGUUUGAAGAGCUUCCUGCAAGAAAUUUUUAUGCUGUUCUAAUUAACUUUCUCCUUGCCUUUUCCCUUUCUUGUGAUGACCUAUUUGAUAACAAAUGUUAUUGAAAUUGAUCAGUGCACAUUCCAAGUCAAUAAAAUAACUAUUUCAUUUAACUUUCAGGUAUUCAUCUCACCAACCAAUUUAUUCAUUUGAACAUACAUUAAUAUUUGUAGUUUAAAAAAAUAAUGUUUCAAGUUUGAAAGAGAAUAAUUCCAAAAUAUCUAAAUGAAAGAAAUAAGUUUGCAUAUUUUCUUUAUGUUCUCUGGAAAUCAUUGCUUAACACAGUGGAUCUUCGGUAAGUCGAAGUGGAAUGGACUUGUGUAAAACCUUAGACACAUUAGGACUUUGUCUCAUAAAUCAGCUUUAAUUUAGUGACAAAAGUUCAAGCCGGUCAAGUUUUACAAGUUAGUUACAAAAGGCGUAACAAAGGGAAAGGACGAUAACUAAACCAGCUUAUACUAAAUAC